rnacentral:rRNA from 1 species
UUGAUGGCGAGUGGCGAACGGGUGAGUAAUACAUCGGAACGUGCCCUGUAGUGGGGGAUAACUAGUCGAAAGAUUAGCUAAUACCGCAUACGACCUGAGGGUGAAAGUGGGGGACCGCAAGGCCUCAUGCUAUAGGAGCGGCCGAUGUCUGAUUAGCUAGUUGGUGAGGUAAAGGCUCACCAAGGCGACGAUCAGUAGCUGGUCUGAGAGGACGAUCAGCCACACUGGGACUGAGACACGGCCCAGACUCC